CUUCAGCCCCAUCAGUCACACAAACAGAGAGCUCCCACAUUGAGAGGAUGCAGUUAUUAGAGCAGUUAUUAGAUGCAGUUAUCAGAGCAAUUAGACUGUAGGCUGAGCAGCUGACAAACUGGCAAAGUGAAAUCAGU